GGUUCUAUGGUGUAGUGGUAAGCACUCUAGACUUUGAAUCCAGGGGUUUAACUCCCGGUAGGACCU